rnacentral:rRNA from 1 species
AUGGUACUUGCUUUCGUUUACAUUUGUGUCAUCAUGAUUUGGGCUGUAGAAGCUAGUGGACAGAAGAAGAAAGGCCAAGGUGUUUUCAAAGGUUUUAAAGCAUCUAAGAAGCGUUUUGCCAAUGGAUCUGCAAAGCUAAAUAUUACAUUCUCUGAAAAAAUGGGUGGUACAGUAGGAAUGAACUAUCGUUCGUUCAAGGAUGACGUGGUAGUCAUAAUGAAAAGAAAGUUACCACUCAUAGGAGUGAGGACAUGGUCGGACAUUCACCCUAUAAUCCAUCGACUCAUUGUUGUAGAUAUGAUAGUGCGUACAAUCUUUUCCACAUGUGUUAUCUUAUUUUACCAUCGAUAA